CUUCCUCCUACCGGGAUUCUGAAAGAGCAGUGUACAGUCUUUUUUUUUUUUUUUAAGAUUUAUUUAUUUGUUUGUUUAUUUAUUAAUUAUAUGUAAGUACACUGUAGCUGUCUUCAGACGCACCAGAAGAGGGCAUCAAAUCUCAUUACCGGUGGUUGUGAGCCACCAUGUGGUUGCUGGGAUUUGAACUUCAGACCUUCGGAAGAGCAGUUGGGUGCUCUUACCCACUGAGCCGUCUCACCAGCCCCAGUCUUUUAUUUUUUGAGACAGGGUUUCACUGUAUACUUUUGGCUGGCAUGGAACUUGUUAUGCAGACCAGGCUGGCUUCAAGCUACAGAGUGCAGCCCCUAACUUGCUGAAAUUAAAGGCAUGCACCACCACACCCAGCUGAAAUGUAUGCCCUUGACCACUGAGCCAUCUCUCCAGCCCUCAUCCUUUCUUUCUAAGACACACAUUGAAGGGUUUACAGACAGAGAACUAUGGUUGAUGGUUGAAGUGUGAACUUUAACUCUUUUAUCUGUGGUAUUAAUUUUCCUUCUUUUUGAGACUAUGUAGCCCUGUCUGGCCUGGAACUCUCUAUGUAGACCAGGCUGGGCUUAAACUAAUACGGAUCAGUCUGUUACAGCGUCUCAAGUGCUGGGAUUAAAGGCAGGUGCUACCAUGGCCAGCUAUUUCAUUUUUCUGUUAGUGGAUGGAACCUGGGGCUUCAGUAAUGCUAAGCAGGGGCUCUACCCCUGAGCCCCGCCCCCAGCCCCUCCCUGGGGUUAUCCUAGGUAGGUGCUCUACCUCUAAGCCAGGACCCAACCUAAGAGGUGGAUUCGUUCCAGUCUGCCAUGAUUUAGGUCCUAUUUCAACACUGAAACUGUCCAUCUAGCUACGUAAAACUUGCUCUUUCUCGAACAACCCACUCUUUACUUUGUAUACGGUCCACUUCUGAGGAAUUUGGCUCUUCUCACACAGACUCUCUUCACUGCAAGAGUUCCUCUGGGCUGGCCUACUGUUGGCAUCAAUGCACAACUACCUUUUUGUUCUGAUGAACUAAAAAACACCCUGCCUCCUUUAAAGAUGGGGAAACUGAGGUCCAGAGGUUAACGUACCACCACGCUGAGUGAGACCUUAAGGAUUUUUUUGAGACAGAGUCUCACUGUGUAGCUCCGCUUGUCCUCCCGCUCAGUUUGCCUAGUGUCAGGUGUCAGGUGGUACCCCUGAAGCUCUCUGGUCAUUUGCAUCAUUCCCCUUCCUCGCCUCUUUGAACACAGUCCCUAAGUCAACCCUUGCGAAAAGCCUUCCAGAUCCCAGCCCCGCCCCCUUACGUUCCUAAGUGUCUCAGUCUCCUUAUAUGGAAUAUUUACAUAAGCAAUGCAGGGUUGAAACAGAAACUGGAACACACAUAAAUGCGUAGGGCUGAAGGGCCUGUGAGUGAAAUCUAUUUCCAAGGCUCAAGUCAGCUGUAGAUGGUCUUGAUGGGGAAGACCAGGUUCCUAAGACUUCUCUGCCCGCCCGCUCCCCAGUCUUUGCGCGUCACUGUUGCCUGAGAACCCGGAGACCAGGAUUGUGGGCACCGCCCCCAACCUCCCCCCCACCCCCCGCGCUCCGGGCCCCGCCUUCCUGCGCCCGCCGCUACGCCGGCCCCUUUUGUUCGCUCUCUGGCCGCUGAGCUCUCCUGGCGCUCGGCUUCUCUCGGCUGGGCUCGGCUCACCUUGGCAGGGCUCCACCGGGCUCCGCUCUGCUCGGUUUCUCUCGCCUCCGCCCCGUUUGGCUCGGAUCUUCCCGGCUCGGCCCCGCUCGGCUCGACUCAGCUCGGCUCCGCCUCGGGGCGCGCAGGCAGCGGCCGGGCUUACUGGAUCGGCCCCUCCCUCUAUCCCCUUCUGGACGUAGAUCCUGUGCGAGGCCCGGACUCCGAGCGCGGAGACCCGGUUAGUGUAUCGGCGUGAGGAGACCGGCGCAGCAUCCUCGUUCCCGGGACGCGCGGACCAAGAGGAGGCGAGGGGUGUCGGGUCCUGGUCGCUGCUGGAGCUCCAAGGUGACCGAGGAUGGCAGAGAGGAUGUGACCAUUGUCUGCCUUGGUCUGCCCUUCUAGUGGCACCGCCAUGCAGAAGCCCAGUGGCCUGAAGCCCCCUGGCCGAGGGGGGAAGCACUCCAGCCCCGUGGGCAGGCCGUCCGUUGGGUCUGCUUCAUCUUCCGUGGUGGCCUCGACCAGUGGCUCCAAAGAAGGGUCUCCCCUGCACAAACAGGCAUCGGGCCCCUCCUCGUCUGGAGCCGCCACCACCGUCUCUGAGAAGCCAGGUCCAAAGGCGGCUGAAGUGGGUGAUGACUUCCUGGGAGACUUUGUGGUGGGCGAGAGGGUGUGGGUGAAUGGCGUGAAGCCAGGCGUGGUGCAGUACCUGGGUGAGACACAGUUUGCGCCAGGCCAGUGGGCCGGCGUGGUCUUGGACGACCCGGUGGGCAAGAACGAUGGAGCUGUGGGUGGCGUGCGCUACUUCGAGUGCCCGGCUCUACAGGGCAUCUUCACGCGGCCCUCCAAGCUGACCCGCCAGCCCACCGCUGAGGGCUCGGGCAGUGAUACGCACUCGGUGGAAUCCCUCACGGCCCAGAACCUGUCCCUGCAUUCUGGCACGGCCACGCCCCCACUCACAGGCCGAGUCAUCCCCCUGCGGGAGAGUGUUCUUAACAGCUCAGUGAAGACGGGCAAUGAGUCUGGUUCCAACCUCUCCGACAGUGGUUCUGUGAAGCGCGGUGACAAGGACCUCCACCUGGGAGACCGUGUGCUGGUUGGUGGGACGAAGACCGGUGUGGUGCGAUAUGUUGGGGAGACGGACUUUGCCAAAGGCGAGUGGUGUGGUGUGGAGCUGGAUGAGCCCCUCGGGAAGAACGACGGGGCGGUGGCAGGAACCAGGUACUUCCAGUGCCCACCCAAGUUCGGUCUCUUUGCACCAAUCCACAAGGUCAUCCGAAUUGGCUUCCCAUCCACCAGUCCAGCCAAGGCCAAGAAGACCAAACGCAUGGCCAUGGGUGUCUCCGCUUUGACCCACAGCCCCAGCAGCUCUUCCAUUAGCUCUGUCAGCUCUGUGGCCUCCUCUGUUGGUGGCCGGCCCAGCCGCAGUGGCCUGCUCACAGAGACCUCUUCGCGCUAUGCCCGGAAGAUCUCAGGCACCACAGCUCUGCAGGAGGCCCUGAAGGAGAAGCAGCAGCACAUUGAACAGCUGCUGGCUGAGCGCGACUUGGAGAGAGCCGAAGUAGCCAAGGCUACCAGCCAUAUCUGUGAGGUGGAGAAGGAGAUCGCCCUGCUGAAGGCACAGCAUGAGCAGUAUGUUGCAGAAGCCGAGGAGAAGCUGCAGCGGGCACGGUUGCUGGUGGAAAACGUGAGGAAAGAGAAGGUGGAUCUGUCCAAUCAGCUGGAGGAGGAGAGGAGGAAGGUGGAGGACCUGCAGUUCCGGGUGGAAGAAGAAUCCAUCACCAAAGGAGACUUGGAGACCCAGACCCAGCUGGAGCACGCGCGCAUUGGGGAGCUGGAGCAGAGCCUGCUAUUGGAGAAGGCGCAGGCCGAGCGGCUGCUCAGAGAAUUAGCGGAUAACAGGCUGACCACAGUGGCUGAGAAGUCUCGGGUGCUGCAGCUGGAAGAAGAGUUGAGCCUGCGGCGUGGUGAGAUCGAAGAGCUGCAACACUGUCUCCUCCAGUCAGGCCCGCCACCCGCAGACCACCCAGAGGCCGCUGAGACUUUGCGGCUGCGAGAGCGGCUGCUGUCGGCUAGCAAGGAGCACCAGCGAGACAGUACCUUGCUCCAGGACAAAUAUGAGCACAUGCUAAAGACCUACCAGACCGAGGUGGACAAGCUCCGGGCGGCCAAUGAGAAGUACGCUCAGGAGGUGGCAGACCUCAAGGCCAAGGUCCAGCAGGCCACCACGGAAAACAUGGGGCUCAUGGACAACUGGAAAUCCAAGCUGGACUCGCUGGCCUCCGAUCACCAGAAAUCCCUGGAGGACCUGAAGGCCACGCUGAACUCUGGCCCAGGCGCCCAGCAGAAGGAGAUCGGAGAGUUGAAGGCCCUGGUAGAGGGCAUCAAGAUGGAGCACCAGCUGGAGUUAGGUAACCUGCAGGCCAAGCACGACUUGGAGACGGCCAUGCAUGGGAAGGAGAAGGAGGGCCUGCGGCAGAAGCUGCAAGAGGUCCAGGAGGAGCUGGCCGGGCUGCAGCAGCACUGGAGGGAGCAGCUGGAGGAGCAGGCCAGCCAGCAUCGGCUGGAGCUCCAAGAAGCCCAGGACCAAUGUCGCGACGCCCAGCUGCGCGCGCAGGAGCUAGAGGGACUGGAUGUGGAGUACCGUGGCCAGGCUCAAGCCAUCGAGUUCCUCAAAGAGCAGAUCUCACUGGCUGAAAAGAAGAUGCUAGAUUACGAGAUGCUGCAGAGGGCCGAAGCCCAGAGCAGGCAGGAGGCCGAGCGGCUGCGGGAAAAGCUUCUGGUGGCUGAGAAUAGACUCCAGGCUGCCGAGUCCCUGUGCUCAGCCCAGCACAGCCAUGUGAUCGAAUCCAGUGACCUUUCUGAGGAGACAAUUCGGAUGAAGGAGACUGUAGAGGGCCUGCAGGACAAGCUGAACAAGAGGGACAAAGAGGUGACAGCCUUGACAUCCCAGAUGGACAUGCUCAGGGCCCAACUCUAGAAAACAAGUGCAAAUCAGGAGAGAAGAAGAUAGAUUCUCUCCUGAAGGAGAAGAGGCGCCUAGAGGCAGAGCUGGAGGCUGUGUCUCGGAAGACCCACGAUGCCUCCGGCCAGCUGGUCCACAUCAGCCAGGAGUUGCUGCGGAAAGAGAGGAGUCUGAACGAGCUGAGGGUGUUGCUGUUAGAAGCCAAUCGCCACUCCCCAGGGCCCGAGAGAGACCUGAGCCGUGAAGUACACAAAGCUGAAUGGCGGAUAAAGGAACAGAAACUGAAGGAUGACAUCCGGGGCCUGCGUGAGAAGCUGACCGGGCUGGACAAGGAGAAGUCCCUAUCAGAGCAGAGACGCUACUCCCUCAUUGACCCAGCUUCACCACCCGAGCUGCUGAAACUGCAGCAUCAGUUGGUGAGCACGGAAGACGCCCUGCGGGAUGCGCUGAACCAGGCCCAGCAGGUGGAGAGGCUGGUGGAGGCCCUGAGGGGCUGCUCAGACAGGACUCAGACCAUCAGCAAUUCCGGUUCUGCCAACGGUAUUCACCAGCCAGACAAGGCCCACAAACAGGAGGACAAACACUGACCGCAAGGGACACCAAGGACCGACCCUACUCACACCAGAAGCCCUACCAGGCUUCCCAGCAGCGCCACCUUCAGGCAGGAGUCAGAACUGUCCCCUUGGAGAUGUGACUGUGUUUGUAACAAUAUUGUCCUCACUGCCGUGGACACGUGGACACGUCCCACCUGAACCCCCUGCCGGACCAGGAGGCUCCCACAGACACGGCCUUCCACAGAGCGCGGUACAGCUGGGCCCAGCCCUGGAGAACCUCUCUUGUCCCAAGGAGCUUCGUGAACUGGCAGAGGCUGAAGCGAUCCAGUUGGGCCUCUCUUGACUAUAGCAGGCUGCUGCUGCGGCUUGUCUGGACACCUGGGGACUUCCCCGCCUCCCUUCCCUUCUGUGUCCCCAGGUCCCCCGCAGGCCCCUGAGGGAUGGAGCAGGGCCCCUGCUUGGACACAGAACACACCAAGAAGGGCUUCAGAAACUAGGGAGGGAAUGCUUGACUCCACGCAUUGAGCCCCUCCUACACAUUGGUACAAGGUCGCUUAGGCCCCUCUAGUCAGGGAAGAUUUGGGGGUGACAGGCUCCUUAGUCCUCGACACCAAGCUAGUAUGCGUUACCCACCUCCCAUCUGCUGCCCGGAAGGCACUGAGCAGACAGCUUCAGUAUUCAGCGAGCACGCGAACCCACGCUUCUUACCUUUACCUUGAGCUGGGACUGGCUUGGGGCUUAGAACCAAGAACAGGUAGAAAAUUCCUUAAACAAAGCAUUCCUACAGCGUUUUGCUGGGUGAGAGGAAUCAAACUGGUUCCCUUUCUUUCUGGGAACCCCUGCCAUGUUACUCUAAAGACCCCAGCAACCCAGAGAGAGCCCUGCUUCCAUCUUCCCAGGGCAGGACCACAGUGGUAAAUCCUAAGGAUGGCCCAGGUGGCCUGUGUGAGCGCCACUAGGCACCAGAAGGUGGCGCUCACGCUCUCGUCCUUAGGGAGGAGCUGACUUAGCAGCCCCUCAGCCCAACCCCCUGCUUCCUGUUGGCUUUUGGGUAGCACUUGCCAUUAACAACAGCAGCCUAGAACUGACGCUUUAGUGGCCCGUCUGCAGAGCCAAAUCUUGCUCUUUCCAGCACAAUCGGGCAGCUCACGGAUUAGGAAUUAACAGCCAAAGGCUCCCACGGAAGGGACCAGAAGGGGCUGAGCCCCACCCUGGAGUGGGCUUGCACCUGGUAGGUGUGCAAGAAGCCAUUUCCCCAUAAGCACUGGCCUUUGAUGGCCCCCUCAGCCUACCUGGUGUGGCCACCCAGCUGUGGCUCAGCCAUCCCCGCCCUCCCUCCGCUCCCCCUCCCCCUCCCUCUCCCCCCAGUGGAAUUGUGGAAGUGUGGCAAGUCCAUGUUCGGACAAUAAAGCUUGUGAUUGAGGUUCAGGA